rnacentral:rRNA from 1 species
GCCUAACACAUGCAAGUCGAGCGAGGAGGAUUCCUUCGGGGUGGAUCCUAGCGGCGGACGGGUGAGUAACAACGUGGGCAACCUGCCUCAUAGAGAGGAAUAGCCUUCCGAAAGGGAGAUUAAUACCUCAUAACAUUGCAGUUUCGCAUGGAACAGCAAUUAAAGGAGUAAUCCGCUAUGAGAGUGGGCCCCGCGGCGCAUUAGCUAGUUGGUGAGGUAAUGGCUCACCAAGGCGACGAUGCGUAGCCGACCUGAGAGGGUGAUCGGCCACAUUGGGACUGAGACACGGCCCAGACUCCUACGGGAGGCAGCAGUGGGGAAUAUUGCACAAUGGGGGAAACCCUGAUGCCAGCAACGCCGCGUGAGUGAUGACGGCCUUCGGGUUGUAAAGCUCUGUCUUCAGGGACGAUAAUGACGGUACCUGAGGAGGAAGCCACGGCUAACUACGUGCCAGCCGCCGC